AGUUUAAUUGAUAAAAUUAUAGGUUUAUUGUUUGUAAUUAUUUAUUAUAAUUUUAUUAAUUUUGUUGGGGUGAUGGGAAGAUAAAAUUAACUCUUUUUAUAAGUAAUAUAUUGAUUUAUAGAUUUAUGAUCCAUUAUUGUUGAUUAUAAGACUAAAUUACCUUAGGGAUAACAGCGUAAUCUUUCUUGAGAGUUCAUAUCGACAGGAAGGGUUGCGACCUCGAUGUUGGAUUAAGAUAAACAUUAGGUGUAGAAGUUUAAUUUGUUAGGUCUGUUCGACCUUUAAUAUCUUACGUGAUCUGAGUUCA
rnacentral:rRNA from 1 species